rnacentral:rRNA from 1 species
GAUGAACGCUGGCGGCGUGCCUAAUACAUGCAAGUCGAGCGAACGGACGAGGAGCUUGCUCCUCUGACGUUAGCGGCGGACGGGUGAGUAACACGUGGAUAACCUACCUAUAAGACUGGGAUAACUUCGGGAAACCGGAGCUAAUACCGGAUAAUAUAUUGAACCGCAUGGUUCAAUAGUGAAAGACGGUUUUGCUGUCACUUAUAGAUGGAUCCGCGCCGCAUUAGCUAGUUGGUAAGGUAACGGCUUACCAAGGCAACGAUGCGUAGCCGACCUGAGAGGGUGAUCGGCCACACUGGAACUGAGACACGGUCCAGACUCCUACGGGAGGCAGCAGUAGGGAAUCUUCCGCAAUGGGCGAAAGCCUGACGGAGCAACGCCGCGUGAGUGAUGAAGGUCUUCGGAUCGUAAAACUCUGUUAUUAGGGAAGAACAAAUGUGUAAGUAACUAUGCACAUCUUGACGGUACCUAAUCAGAAAGCCACGGCUAACUACGUG